AUGGAGUUUGGGCUGAGCUGGGUUUUCCUUGUUGCUAUUUUAAAAGGUGUCCAGUGUCAGGUGCAGCUGGUGGAGUCUGGGGGAGGCUUGCUCUCCUGUGCAGCUUCUGGAUUCACGUUCAGUGACUACAGGAUGUACUGGGUCCACCAGGCUCUGAGUAAGUGGCUGGAGUGGGUGGCCAACAUAAAGUAUGAUGGAGGUGAAAAAUACUACGCAGACUCCGUGAACGGCCGAUUCACCAUCUCCAGAGACAACGCCAAGAACUCGCUGUAUCUGCAGAUGAACAGCCUGAGAGCCGAGGACACGGCCAUGUAUUACUGUGCGGGACACAGUGAGGGGAAGUCAGUGUGA